rnacentral:tRNA from 1 species
GUUUUAAUAAUUUAAUAAAAAAUAUUGGUCUUGUAAAUCAAUUAUAAGACCCAUGUCUUUUAAAACU